GCUUUGAAGUGUGGACGCCAGUCUGCAUGGAGCCGACCUUGAAAUACCACCCUUUAAUGUUUGAUGUUCUAACGUGGACCCGUAAUCCGGGUUGCGGACAGUGUCUGGUGGGUAGUUUGACUGGGGCGGUCUCCUCCUAAAGAGUAACGGAGGAGCACGAAGGUUGGCUAAUCCUGGUCGGACAUCAGGAGGUUAGUGCAAUGGCAUAAGCCAGCUUGACUGCGAGCGUGACGGCGCGAGCAGGUGCGAAAGCAGGUCAUAGUGAUCCGGUGGUUCUGAAUGGAAGGGCCAUCGCUCAACGGAUAAAAGGUACUCCGGGGAUAACAGGCUGAUACCGCCCAAGAGUUCAUAUCGACGGCGGUGUUUGGCACCUCGAUGUCGGCUCAUCACAUCCUGGGGCUGAAGUAGGUCCCAAGGGUAUGGCUGUUCGCCAUUUAAAGUGGUACGCGAGCUGGGUUUAGAACGUCGUGAGACAGUUCGGUCCCUAUCUGCCGUGGGCGCUGGAGAACUGAGGGGGGCUGCUCCUAGUACGAGAGGACCGGAGUGGACGCAUCACUGGUGUUCGGGUUGUCAUGCCAAUGGCACUGC
rnacentral:rRNA from 1 species